GAUGAACGCUGGCGGCGUGCUUAACACAUGCAAGUCGAACGGUGAAGCGCCUUCCUUUUUGGUGGGUGUGGAUGAGUGGCGAACGGGUGAGUAACACGUGAGUAACCUGCCCCCUUCUUCUGGAUAACCGCAUGAAAGUGUGGCUAAUACGGGAUAUUCUGGGUCUGUCGCAUGAUGGGUCUGGGAAAGAUAUUGUUUCGGUGGGGGAUGGGCUCGCGGCCUAUCAGCUUGUUGGUGGGGUGAUGGCCUACCAAGGCGGUGACGGGUAGCCGGCCUGAGAGGGUGGACGGUCACACUGGGACUGAGACACGGCCCAGACUCCUACGGGAGGCAGCAGUGGGGAAUAGUGCACAAUGGGCGCAAGCCUGAUGCAGCGACGCCGCGUGAGGGAUGGAGGCCUUCGGGUUGUGAACCUCUUUCGCCAGUGAAGCAGGCCUGCCUCGUUUGUGGGUGGGUUGACGGUAGCUGGAUAAGAAGCGCCGGCUAACUACGUG
rnacentral:rRNA from 1 species